ACCGCACCAGACCGCAUCGCUGGCCCCCCAAAUCCCAAUCCACCCGUGCCCUACACCAUUGCGCCGCCGCCCCCAACAAUCUAACCUUCCACCGGCGGCCGCCCUCUAGCCAUCGCCAUCGCCAUCCCCAAAUCACUCAAUCUACUGGUUCCCGACACCAGAUCGCCGCUGCCCCCAACCGUUUGAUCCCUCCGCCGUCACCCCCACUCCCCCAGCACCGCAGCCCCUCCGCCGCCCCAAUCGGCCCCAGUGCCGCCGUCGCCCCCCACCACCGCAGCCCGUCCGCCGCCCCAACCAAUGCACUGCUGCGUCCUCCACCCAGACCACUGACGCCGUCGUCGCCCACCAUCGCAGCUCCUCUGCCGCCCCUAGCAUCCACUGUCGCUUCCUCCACCCAGACCACUGCCGCCGUCGCCCCCCAACCACUCCAGAGCGGCGCCGCCGAGCACCAAUUGACACGGAGCAUCCCAUCGCCGAGCCAAUCCACCGACGACCUUCCUCCUCCGCUGUACACCGUCGUUCCUCAGUUACCACCCUCCUCGCGAGCUUCCUCCCCCAAGCUAGCCCUCCGCACAUGCUCACCCGAGCCCCAAGGAGCUCCUCCGGCAAGCUGCACCUUCUCCACAGUUUAUGCCUUCACUAGAUUGUGACUUCUUGAAGCAAACACAGGAAGUUUCUGCUGCUAAUUUUUGCUUGUAUUGAUCUGUUGGGAGCCUUUAUGUACUUUAUACAGAUGCAGUUUAUCUUGCUACAAUUUUUUCUUGUAUUCAUCUGUUGGGAGUCUUUAUGUACUUUAUACUGAUUCACAUGUAAUAAGCAGCUUGUAGUAUUAGUGAAGGAACAACACCAGGAGACAACCCACUGACCAAGGAGCGCCCUUAUAUCAUCAGUAUCCACCGAAACAAUAGUGACCAUCGUAGUAGAUUAUAUAUGGCCGUGUCAACUGCAGUCUGGUCGUAGAUUUGAAGUUUGGUCAUCGUUCAUAUUGAUGUGAGUACACCAUGACCACCCCCUAGAGUGAACCAAAAUGAUGAGUCAUAACUGCUUCUUGUGCAAGCUUACUUUGUUCAUUUUCAAUGUAAUAUAUGGUAUUUAGAUUUUUUUCCCUAUUAAUAGAAGUAAACUUUCUUUUGUAUGUUACGCAAUGUAUUGCAUGGCCUUACAAGCAUGUAAGCUUAGGUCCUAUGAUUAAAUAUACAAUGACUAUCAUGGUUGAUUGCUUAAAACUCUUGCUUCUAUGUAUGCAGUUGGAAGUGAGUUAAUGGCAAAUGCGGCAAUGCGUUGCGACCACAAGCAAGCUGAGGAGGUAAUAUACAUGUUUCUUGGCUGAAUAUUUACAUUAGUGUGUACUAUCAAGGGCAGAUAGUAAUGGUUCGCUCAUUUGGUUGCUACAUGGUUAACUUGUGUCCAGAAAACUUGAGCUCCUGAUUCCAGUAUAUAGUAUUAAUUAGUAAUUCAAACAGAUCAUUAUAGUUCUUUAGAAGUGUGCUUUUGUGUCCAUCAGCCAUGAAUUUGGAGAGAGGUCAGUUGAAUAAAUAUGGUUACAAAUAUAAACUUUAAUUGGAUCAUCUUUCUUUCAUGUACACGAUAGACUCUACCAUGUAGAGAAAUGACUUUCAUUGGAUUCCAUGCUCACAACUUUCAUUUGAUUCAUUUCUCAUAACUGGAUCCUCUUUCUUUCAUGUACAUGAAGUAUUUUAGCUUGCUUGUUUGUUUGUUUGUUUGUUUGUCAAAAGCCUUGGUUUAUUUUUCUUGGCUAAUUCAACUUGUUGUCCAAGAUGUAGGAAAGUGAACCAAAUGUUCAUAGUGUUUCACUGGAUUUGUAAAUCUGUGGGCUUGUCCACUACUCAGAUACUCCCUCCGUCCCAAAAUAAGUCUCAUAACUUUUGUACAACUUUGUACUAAAGUUACAAAGUUGAUACACUUAUUUUGGGACGGAGCGAGUACCAUUUUAGGGGACCUUCAUUUGUAACUUGUCCAACAAAAGCAUGGAACCAGGAAACUAAACAACUCCCAUUAAAAGAUCCUGAAAUAUAUGUCCAGCUAGUUCCCCUCUUAUUCUGUGUAGCCAGCAAAUCAUUUAUGUAACUGAACUUUAAUAGCUCCUGCAAAGAGGGAGCAAAAAUUAAAAGGCUUGUUUAUGCAAUGGGACCAACAUUGAGUCAUCUUUACAAUAAGAGGCAAUGCUUCAGUGAAAAUCACAGUACUCCCAAUACACCCCUUCACCAGAUUCCGCAACAGGAGAAAUGUAGUUCAACUUCGUGUUCUGGAUGCAGGAAGUCUGUAAGCACAGUUGUCAUCAUUGCUCUAAGGAAAUACCACGCAAAACCACAAAAUGGUAUCGUCAUUUAUAGAUUUCCAGAUUCAUUAUCCUAUUAUGUUGUGCCAACUUCAUAUAGGAACUCAAAAUAAAUCAGCUUAUAUCCAAGGUCAGGCUCAAUAUCAAGGCCCACUAGAGACUGGACUAGCACACUGAAUCCACAGGUUCCGAUACUAAUGUGUAAUUGUAUUACUUUGAAGAAGCCAAGGUAUACGACAUACGAAAUUUUAAGAAGCACAACUAAACACCUGUUGCGUUCUGGUAGAGAAAAAGUACCAGGUGAAAAUAAGAUGCUAUAAUUUUGCAUAUGUGCUUGUUCAGUACACUAGCUUCAAAAUUUGCUUGUGUAAUGUUAAGUGUGUGAUCGUGGCCUUGUGCUUGUGUAAUAUUCGUACAGACUUUGCACACUAUAUUUGGAUGAGAAGUUAGAUAAGCUUGCUACUGUCAAGAUGAUAAAAAAUGGACAUGUUGAUGUCCAGGAUAUGUUGUCUACUAAAGUAGAGAUUACUCUAGAGAUCUCUACUAUUAAAGGAGAAUCGAACGUCGUGAUGGUUCGACCUCCUUCGCUCGCCCCCACCUCGUUCGAUCCCGUACGUGAAAACUUCUCCCCACACGCGAAAAAAACGGACCCCCUCGGCUCCUCCCCACCCGUCGCACGAAAAAAAUGACAACAAAAUAAAACAACGCACGUACGCACGUCCCACCCCCACUUCCCUUCCCCCAAAUCCCUUGCUCUCGAGAGAGGAAUUGCCGCCGCUGACCUCCUCAGUCCUCACGGUGACCUCGAGCGGUUGCACACUGCAACCAAAUUAGACUGGAGCAGUGGAUCCAAGCCCUUUCCAUCUCAUCCAUUCUUCACCGAGUCCAGGAGGAGCUCGAUGUAGGGAGGUAGACGAGCAAGAGCGCCGCGUCCAUGGCAACGAUGAACAGGGCAUAGGUAACGUAUCUUCCUACCCUCACUCCAACCCAUCUUCUCCCCGUAGCCUGUACUGGGGUACACCCACGUUCUCCUCUCCCAUGGCAGGGGCCGACGAGUGGCAACGCGCGGCGGGAGACCGGCUGGUGGGAACGGAUGGCGGGAGGCGGUGGGACCGUGGGAGGAGCAGGUAGUCGGAGGAGAUCGCCGGUGGAAAUCUGGCAAGCGGCGGCGGCAAACAGGGCUUAUGGUUUGAUGUUUGUUUUUUACUAGGUUGUACUGGUCUUUAGAUUGUCAAAACACCGUUUCACCCCUCUUUUAGUCUGGCUUUAAUUCAUUGGUGUGGGUCCUUUGUGUCCUUUGCAGAAUCGUAAUGGCAAUUUGUGCUUUUCUUCGGCACGCUGCUCCACCACCUGUGGAUGUGGGUCGUCCAGGCCUCGCCUCACCUACAAUAUGCUACAUUGGUGUGGGUCCUUGUGAGCCUGCUGCCCCCACCCCCCAUCCCUCUAUAAUCCGAGAUGUCACCCCACCAUUCCUGUUCCGCCAAUGACAACAUCUCCCCUGACCGCUUGUCGUGCCUUGCCUCCAAAUCGGAUCACUGCAGUCUGAAGUAUUUUGAUGUAGCCAUAUCUCAACCACAUGAUGGCACACUAUAUAAGACCUCUAACCCGACGUGGAAGGACGAACUUCGACCAUGGAGCAGAGCACAGCGACGUGUCAAGGAUUGAUGGUCAAUGAUAAAGAGCAGGGGCCCUCAGAUGCUAGCCCUCCUCCUGCUGCUAUCCUCCCCAUCCCCUACGAGAUGUAUAUGGUGCUGACUUUGAGAGGCUGAAUAAUUAGGUUGAUAUUGAGGGAUUAAUAAAGGAUCAGCGGGCCAAGAUGUUUUGAGAUCAAACGGUGAAGUAAUAUUGUGUACUUGUGCUAAGUACUUUUGGUUUUGCCCGCUGAAGGAUUCAUAUGGUUACAAGUUGUACCUCUGACAGUGCUAAAUCAUAUAUAUUUCUUUCAGGUACAUUACUCAUGCAUUUUUCCUCUAAUGGUCUGACACAAUUUUAUCCUCGUUCAAAUUAACUAGGUGCUAGGGACAGUCCUCCAGAGCAAAAGCAUUCAUUUUCAAGGACAUCAUAAGAUGCUAAAAAGUCCAAUUCAAGUAAUUUCUUCAUAAAACAGCCAGGAUAUAUAUUUGAAGGGUAAGUGUUUUUGGAUUGCUUGAGGUAGGGCUACAAGUAACAACUAGAGAAGAAGGGGGCCAAAAAUCCAAAAAGGCAUUAGGCUUGCAGCCACUCCGCCGACAUGACAGUCUUAGUACGCGGCACCGCGUAAACACCCAUUGUGGCGGCGACCACUGACACUGACAACAACGUGGCUUUUCAGCGAGCGGCGGCCCUGACGGUGGCAGCACCCAUCACAUAAGGCAACGCUCCGCACCAGAUCUCUGUUGUGCACACCCAUCCGACCACACCCGACGGUGUUCCCUGAGCCAUGGUGUGUGCCUUCUCCUCCCCUAGAUCAUCUCACCAAUUACUUGCACACCAUCGCCGCAUGAUCCACUAGAGGAAUGUAUAGCAUAGAUUAUCUAUAAAAGAUACUGCUUACUUCUGAUGCUCCAUCAUCGUGUCAGGCUUCAUUUGAUCCUAAAGGACUCCUUUGGUUAGUAAUUCAUCUACUCUUCAUCAUUUUUAUAAAUUAACUUGACUUUAUUUAACUUGGUAAGUUUUGACUGUCUAUCCUUUGCUCAUUGGCUCUAUAUGGCGAUUGUCACAUGUUUGAUUUGACUGCAGAUUGGACAUGUAAUUAUACAUUUCGAGGUAUAACGCUUGUGUUUGUUUCUACAUUUGAACAUUUCUCUUGUGGCGUAGAAACCAUAUUCUAUUCCCCCCUGUUGGGCCAACUUGCUUGUAGAAUUACAAUGGGAGAAUUAUUGAUUUGUUAAUCCAUUCCUUCAACAUGUUAGAACUUGCAUUUUUCCUGCUUAAAGUAUUACGUUAAUACACUACAUAAUCACUGGUGCCUGCAGAGCUGACGUAAUAUAACAAAUUAGGCUGGGUCUGAAAUGUGCAGCCAUGUUGGCCUCGCCAAUGAGUGAAUGUUGGAAGAUGCAACAUUAGGAAAUGCCGAGUAUAUAUGGCAACAUCCAUGGUUCUGUAUCCUAUCUCAUAUAAGGCCUAAUUAAGUCAUUUAGCGCCGAUGUGAUUAGUGAUGUUCCACUGACCUUGAGGUGUGUUAUCACAUACCAAGCAAUUAAUCUACUACCUAAAGUCAUUUUCAUUGCCUCGAUAUCAUUCCCUAUGUCUUUCUUGAAUUCUUUGCUCAAGACAAUUUCCCUGAGAUUAGUUUCCUUUUUGUUCACUUCAGUUUUUAUUUGUUCUAUAGUUCACACCUGGUCCCUUUAGUGUAACUUAUCGAAUAACAAAGUUUUGUCUUUUAUUCACUGGAUGUGGUUCCUAUAGUCAGGGAAAAACAUCUACCUAUAUUGCUGACAUAGUUGCAAGAUUUAUACGUAUUGAGCAAGAACUCAUUAGAUCGAGAUAUGUCCAACAAGGAGAUCUCUCUUGCCUCUUAUGAAGUGUGGCAGAUUUAGAAAGAAAGUGUGGAGAUUUCUUUUAGGCCAAAGAGGGAUGGGUUUGGAAGAGUUAGUUUCUAAAGUUAUUUAGAAUGUUAACCUCCUGUUGGAGGCAUUUGGCACUUAGCCUUUGCUGCUGUACAGCCGAGCUAACUUAUUGACAUCCUCGAAAUUUCCUUACUUUUUAAAUCUUGUUAUGUUGCCUCUUGGGUAGGCUUCAACCUGGUUCCUGUAGAAAAAAAUAAGAUUGCAAAAGUAUAUUAUUAGCAUGUAUCAAUUGUAGUGCAUAACACAUCAAAUUGUACGCAAUGAUGUCCCUUUGUAUGUAAGAACAAGUGAACACAUAAUGUAUUUUUUGUGUCUAUACCUUCAAUGUGGGUAUCUGAAUCUAAACCCAAAAAUAUAUUAUUUUCCUUUUUUGUUUUAUUAUGUUUCAAAUACUUAGCGGGGCUGUUUGUUAAUUCAGGCGGUAUCGCUUCUAUUUUCUUUCUGUUUAUUUCCUUUAAUCAAAAUUUUUGAACUGGACAAGAGAGGGUUUUUUAAGAUCCUGGACAAGGGAGGUUGUCCCCUCCUAUUUUGAUCGCUGAAUAACUCAUGAAAUGGAUGAUAUAGCCAUCAAGAUUUUGUUAUUCUUACACUGAAUGCAUCUAAAGAAAAUAUUGUUACAAGUAAUGAAUGGAUUGUUGUACAUCAAGAUCUGUGUUUUUCUUCAACACUCUUUGAUCCAUUGUUUCUAAAGGCAAUGGUGAAAAAUGUAUUCUCUUCAUUAGUUUCGAGGAGGUGUGACUUUUUUCUCCUCACACAAAGCGAGGAAGUAAAUAACUCCAUUCUCUUAUUUCUAGGCAGGAUGUAUAAGGUUUGACACAUGCGUGAAAUAUAACUCAAGAGGGUUGCGUGUUGAAUGAGUGACAUUAUGAGUUUGAUAUUUUUUCUAAGGAUUUAAAUGCUUCUAGAUUUUUUGAAAUAUGAUUGCUUUGUAAGAGUGUUUAUUGCGCAACAGUGUUAUGUAUAUUGAUAACCAAGAAGAGUGAGUGAAGAGGAUGGAAUAAAUGGCCGCAACUACAUUACAUUUUUGCCAUAUUAGGUGUGCAUGGGCGAGUACUUAGAUGAUGCUAGACGAGUCCAAUCGCAGCAAUAAGAGCCAAAUGUGAGUUGAGAGGCAGGUUAAGUGGGUAUAAGAAGUGACACAAACCUUAUCAAAUAUUGUCUAAUCAAGGUAGGGGAAGGUACAUAAAUCAUGGCGAAGCGAUGGCGAGUAGGAUGAUGAUGGGGCCAAACAAUCAUUGUUGAUCUAAAGGCAGACCCGAAGGCGACAGUGGAGAGACCAUCAAUGUAACAGUAACUAUAGUAUGACUAACCAGAGUAGGGAAAGAUACAUACACAAGGACGAAGCAACGAUGCAACUGAAUCACAACUCCAAAUGCACGGCUACCUUUUUCCUACAGAUUUGGUCAAGGGAGUGACAAACCUUUUUGUAUACUGAAUCACAAUGACAAAUAUAUGCACUAGAAAAUUUGAGUGUGGGUCAUGUGGGUUUUAUUUAAAGUGCAGGUACAAUGCGAUAUUUUUCACAACAAUCAUAUGCUACCUCCAACAUACAUAGUGUAAAUUAUAACAACAUUAAAGUCAAUUUCUCUCUGAAAAAUUUAUUUUUGUUUCGUGGCAACGCACGGGCAUUCAACUAGUGUUACUAGUUGCUCUAUGUUUCAGAACAUAUGCAGCUGUUGUAUGUCGGGCAUGCGGCUGUUGUAUGUGAUUGUUUUAACAUCUUCUUGUUAAUAUUUGUACAGACUUUGCACGCUACAUUUUGAUGAGAAGAUAAACUUGCUAUUGUUAAGAUGAUAAAAAAUGGACAUCUUGAUGUCCAGGACAUGUUCUCUACUAUAGAAGAGAUUACUCAAGAGAUGUUACUGGUUGCUCUAUAUUUUAGAACAUAUAUCCGUCUGUUAUAUGCGAUUGUUGUAACAUCUUCCUUAAGUUAUGACUGCAACUGUUAUAUGUAACAUCUUCUGAUCUAUUGCAGGUUUCCCAAAGGUGCACAAGUUCACUAAGGUUUGGAAGAUCUUCAAGUUGCUGAAGAUUUGGAAGACCUAAAAUUAAGUUGGUGGAGUGAUAAUGACCUGUGUCUUGUUUGUUGAACGUAAAGACUUGCUCUGCUCAUUUUGGUGGUUGUUGAAUUAGCUUAUUUAGGUUGUGUGGCACACAUCUAGAAACAUAUGUACAUCCCUAGUGGCACUACUUUAUUUUGGGUGUGUGGCAAAUGUAUAUAUGUAAUCCUUUUGUGGUACUACCUCUUUAUAUAUGGUCGUUAAGUUUAAGGUUUU